GCCCGGGUGGCGAAAUUGGUAGACGCAAGGGACUUAAAAUCCCUCGGUAGAAAUACCGUGCCGGUUCGACUCCGGCCCCGGGCACCA
rnacentral:tRNA from 1 species